rnacentral:lncRNA from 1 species
ACUUGAACACUGAACAUGAAAUUGAGUAAGCUUAAGAACUACUAUUACCUUGAGCUUGACAUGAUUUGGUGGAGAAGAGGUGAGGAUACUUGGUACAUAUGUCUUUUUCUGCUUCCUAAGUAGCUCCACCAAUGGACUAAUUUUACCAAAGAACCUUAACUAGAGGGAAUUUUUUGUUCCUCAAUCUACGACUCGUUUACUCUAGGAUCU